rnacentral:lncRNA from 1 species
UUUUUUUUUUCAACUAACAAACUGGAUACACUCUGUGCCCUACACACUAUGACACAGCAGUGUGUCAAAAUUUCAUUGAUUAUAUAACUGCCUGUAUGGUCUACUGUGCUUUUGAUUAAUUUUUGAUUAGUUAAUUGCAUUAAUUUUUGAGAUCACUUUGAACAAAAGUUUUCCCUUUUUAAUAUUCACUCUUCUUGUCCAGGACAACAGCAUUCAAAUUUUGUAUAAUAAACAGUCAAUAAGCAUUUAUGAAAUGAAUAAAUAAAUGCCACCCGAUUAUUUUUUACAAUGCUCUUAAUAAAGGUCCUAACAUUUCUCUUCAAGGUUAUUUCAAAGCAUUUUGUGUUUUUGGUCAAUUAAAUCUUUUUCUUCCUGCAGAGUUUUCUAUUAAACUGUCACUAUUUACUAACUUAAAGGAUGCUGAGCAGAACUUUUUCCUUUGGCCAACAAUUGGCAGCAUAGGAACAACUUUUUAUGAAAACCCAAAGGAAGCUGUAAGUAAUUUUCAUUUUAAAGAGAAUUACUUGCAACAGGGCUAGAUCCUUCCACCCAACUAGUCAAGUGUGCCAAAACUGCACAAUACCACCGGAUCCAGUUCUCCUUCUACUAUCCCAUUUCUCUAAGUUGGCUGAAAAGCAUGCUAAGAAUUUCUUCUCACCUGGACAUUUCUGAAGAAGGCUGUCCUACUGGAGCAACUCAUACUGGGAAGGGACAACGGUGUGGUUAGCUGACAGGGACCAAAGGGAGACAAAACUGCUACUCUCCAACGAAAUGAGGGGUGGGCUUGAAACCAAGUUGAAAACUGUCCCCAAAUACUCUUAUCUUUACUGAGGACAUUCCUUUCUUGGCAAAGACUCCAAACACAUACAGAACCAAUUCAGAGUCACCACCCUCUCAUCCCUAUCUCAUUUAACAUCACCUGUUACUUAACACCUAUCAUAUCUCCUGUCUCUCCUUUGACCAUGCAUUCCAGACGAUUUAGAAGGGGUGGGGAGAGAUGUCCCCCAAACACACUUUUUCCCCACAAGACUCUGAAUGGGUAUACCGUGGUCUUUCCCCACUCAGGUCCCUCACUUAAAUUGGACUGUGGCUGGGUUUUAAAUAAGUUAUUAUUUGUGCUUAGUGUUUGGCACUUAUUAAAUAUACAAUCAAGGUAAUGAAUUUAUAAAUGUGAAGAAAGUUAUCCAAGCUUUAUCUCACAUGGGAACAAACCUAGUCAUUCUAUUUCCACUCUGGAAAAGAGGAUGCAAAAGACGUCACAACAAAAUGUUCCAAAAUAACAUUUAAUUAGAAUAGUAAAAUAUGAGCAAUAGCAAAUAAAAUGUCUUCAUUCCGACAGUUUUUUAAGAGGUUGAAACCAAAGCAUUUGCCCAGAAAGUUUUAUGUAUCUAGAUCUCAGACUGUACCUAUCAUGGUUUCUUUUUAGUUCAUCUAAUAAAUGGCCUAGCCACAAUGAGUUCAAACAAAUAUUUAAAUUAGAUGCCCAUUUAGUAAUUUUGGUUAAAUAUUUAUUUUUUGAUUCAUCUGUACUUUAGUACACUUGUGGAUAUUUUUCAAAGGGUAAAACAACUGCUAUAGUACCAUUUAAUGAUUUCAUUAAUAUAAAUUUGUUUGGGAAGCCAGGUUUAAGAUGGAGAACCCCCCCCCCCCCCCCCCGCCGGCGUGCAUGGUGUGCUAGUCUCUUCUGUGGCAGAUGCUCCAGGCCCCUGCCCCAGGACGUGCAGCCAUGUAUCUUCCCCGGCCUCUCCUCUCCGCACAAGGUAGGUGACCAGGUGUGCCACUGAAGGCUUUUCCUAGCGCCAGCCUUUUCUGUGACCACUGUUCUUCAAGGACACCUUAUGUGGUCCUAGAGUGUAUCAUGGUCCUUUUCUAUCUUGCACUUACCCAAGGGUCUGUGAGCCAAUUCUGACCUCUUCAGACUCCACUGGCUGGUCACCCAGGAGUAUCCUUGGGUGUGAUAUGGAAGGAAGGUACAGGUAGGACACUGGGGGCCUGAUAUGGCGGUUGGCCUGCUUACAUAGCUCGCUUUCACUUUCCGGUCCUGCUCUCACCUGGUCCUGGGGGCACCAUGUCCAGAUGGUAGGGCGAUCCAUCUUACGGGGUCUGCCUUUGGUUCUGCCUGACGGUAGGACUUGGUGGAUCUAAGGAGAUCCAGCUCAUGUUGGCUGGUCCCGGCGAGUGCCCAUCUGUUAUCCCACAGUUACAUCCCGUCUCUUCCAGGGUACAGCCGCAAGCCCAGAUAAAAUCUCUUCUUCAAAUGUGCAUGUGAUUCCGUGCUGCAGAUGGUUUGUCCUUGGUCCCAGAUCCUGGGUGUCCCCAUCAUGAUGGAGCAUUGCGAAGAACCACAUACAGCCUUUCUUUGGGCCACACUCAGUACUGAGUAAGAACAGGACUUUCCACGUGUGGAGUUGCUGCCUGAAGAGCCUGAGGAAACCUGACAAGUGUUGUGUUUCUUCCUGGUGCUGGGAAGUACUGUCCUAAUAAGUUGUUCUUAAUUUUGGAGAUGGUGCUCAGGCACGUCUAGACCUCUAGACACCUAAAUAACACUGAGUGUCUUUCAGAACACCUUCUCACUAGUGCAUUUCUUAUUAGGUUAAUAAAUUUAAUGUCCUUGGAGUGUUCUUCAAACAUAGUCAACUGGUGGGGUUUUGACCUCUUUGCUUUAUCCACUUUUAUUCCCACUGCUCUGAGUCUUUCAUCCUUCUUCUGCUACAUGCUCUGAAAUCCUGACACUUCAAUUCUCUUCACUUGGACCAUCACUCUUCCAAAACUUCUAGCAAAUUGAGCAGCAAAGGAGGACCAUGGACCCUGAGCCCUGAUGUGAGAUUCUUACCAGAGGAGUUUACUCCCAUUUCAUUACGUUCUUCCUCACUAACUUUGCAUGCAA